AUACCCUGGUAGUCCACGCUGUAAACGAUGUCGACUUGGAGGUUGUUCCCUUGAGGAGUGGCUUCCGGAGCUAACGCGUUAAGUCGACCGCCUGGGGAGUACGGCCGCAAGGUUAAAACUCAAAUGAAUUGACGGGGGCCCGCACAAGCGGUGGAGCAUGUGGUUUAAUUCGAUGCAACGCGAAGAACCUUACCUACUCUUGACAUCCAGAGAACUUAGCAGAGAUGCUUUGGUGCCUUCGGGAACUCUGAGACAGGUGCUGCAUGGCUGUCGUCAGCUCGUGUUGUGAAAUGUUGGGUUAAGUCCCGCAACGAGCGCAACCCUUAUCCUUUGUUGCCAGCGGUCCGGCCGGGAACUCAAAGGAGACUGCCAGUGAUAAACUGGAGGAAGGUGGGGAUGACGUCAAGUCAUCAUGGCCCUUACGAGUAGGGCUACACACGUGCUACAAUGGCAUAUACAAAGAGAAGCGACCUCGCGAGAGCAAGCGGACCUCAUAAAGUAUGUCGUAGUCCGGAUUGGAGUCUGCAACUCGACUCCAUGAAGUCGGAAUCGCUAGUAAUCGUAGAUCAGAAUGCUACGGUGAAUACGUUCCCGGGCCUUGUACACACCGCCCGUCACACCAUGGGAGUGGGUUGCAAAAGAAGUAGGUAGCUUAACCUU
rnacentral:rRNA from 2 species